UUUGACUAAUUCCUUUUCAUUCUCUCUCCACAGGCUCAUUGUCAUUAUGUGGUAGUGAAGCUGUUUGAAGCUAAACUGAGUGAGAUUGGGGAUACGGCUGUCCACUCUGUGCUCAGCACUUUGGCUCUGCUUUAUGCCCUUCAUGGAGUCGCGCAGAACACUGGAGACUUUUUACAGGCUGGUCUGCUAAGUGUUCCUCAGCUGACUCAGAUCUCACAGAGACUGAAGGAUCUCCUCUCUCAGCUAAGGCCCAAUGCAGUGGCUCUGGUUGAUGCCUUUGAUUACCGCGAUGAGAUGCUUAAUUCUGUUCUGGGGCGAUAUGAUGGCAAUGUCUAUGAGCACAUGUUUGAGUGGGCCAAGAAAUCGCCUCUGAACCAUACUGAGGUGCAUGAGUCAUACCACAAGUACUUGAAGCCCCUACAGUCCAAAUUGUAAGCAGUGCAUUUAUGGGAGAAAGGGAAGAGUGUCCAACACAAUUAAUGCCGUUUGCUCUCACCAGCCCUAGAUUUCCUUGCCAUCUACUGUAGAAAAUCUAUUCAUCCCAUGUAAGGAUUCUGCUCUCAGAGAUGAGAUUAUUUUUUGUUUUUGAUUCAUUUUAAAUGGGUAUGGUUCCAUUCUGCAUUCUAAUUAUUUAGAGAAGUAGGUUCUCUAUGCAUUAAAAUAAAUGAUAAUUGAAGUGAAUCCACAUUCAUUACUUUUUGUAAUUGUAUAGAUUAUUUGUUUUUUAUGUAAUAUUUGCUUAAAUUGUCUCUCUAGAGGAUGUGAUGUUAACUGAAUAACUUGAGUCUGACUGCUAUUAACUGAAUAAUUACGGUAAAUAUUUGAGUUCAGACAUCCUCUUUAAAAUCAUGCCUUAAUAAGACCCAUAGACAGGAAUGUUUUAAUUUUUAAUUUUGUAGCGAGAAUCAAAAUCAAUGUAUUGGUAGUUCUAUUGCAAUGAUUUCCACCAUUUACAUAGAAGUGAAUCUGUGAUUAUAUUUUUUUUCACACUGUUGUUAUUUCAAUUCUUAUGCUACAUUAAUAAAGGAAAAUUAUAGCAUUUA